GGGAAGCCGGUCGGAGUCCGGCGCUGACCCGCAACCGUAGGCCGUGCCGGGUCCUCCCCGGGGCGGCGAGCCGGAGCACC
rnacentral:ncRNA from 2 species